rnacentral:rRNA from 1 species
UACGAAGGGGGCUAGCGUUGUUCGGAAUUACUGGGCGUAAAGCGCACGAGGCGGAUCGAUUAGUCAGGGGUGAAAUCCCAGAGCUCAACUCUGGAACUGCCUUUGAUACUGUCGGUCUAGAGUAUGGAAGAGGUGAGUGGAAUUCCGAGUGUAGAGGUGAAAUUCGUAGAUAUUCGGAGGAACACCAGUGGCGAAGGCGGCUCACUGGUCCAUUACUGACGCUGAGGAGCGAAAGCGUGGGGAGCGAACAGG